ensembl:lncRNA
GUCAGCAGUCCCUCCUCCUGCCUCAGCCUCCUGAGUAGCUCGGCUCACAGGUAUGCUCCACUGUGCCCAGCUGUACAUUUUACAUCUGACAACUGUUGUGCAAAUCGUGCUGGCGAGGGCUUUUUUUGUGGGGGGGAGGGGAGCAGGAGGAGGAGGAGGAAAGAGAAGCAGCACGGGUCCGAGUCUGCAGUGUGGAGGCGGCGGUAGCUGCCUUUCCCAGUCUCGCCUGCAGGGCGCAGCAGCAGCUGCCUGCGGGGCCGCAGUGCGGGCUAACGCAGAGGCGCAGGGACCUCUGGGAAGAUGGCGGAGCGGAGAGUGGCGGUGACACAGCUUCUCUGAGAUUUGGAGUCCGGACGCUGGGAUAUAGCCCCGUGAGGAAGAGAAGAAGGAGGGACGUGGGUCCCGGGACCCAGCAGGGAUCUGAAGCGAGAACUGAAGCCCACGGGAAGAGCGGAGAGAGAGACCUGACGCAGAAGGAGGGCGAGCCCGGGCCUGACUCGCUGUGGGAGGGGCUGGGCCCUGCGGACGCCCGGGCUGCUGGCGACGGAGGCUCGGCGGAGAGGCCUGCGGUGCGGAGCGGCGCGCAGCGAGGACGCGGCGGACGGCUGUGGCUGGUGACUUAUUUGGGGGAUUGAACUCAGGACCUUGUGCUUGCAAGGCAGGUGUGGUGUCACUGAGCUAAAUCCCCAGCCCAGGGAAGUAUGCAGAUCUGGCCAUUGUGACUUUCAUCUUCAGAUGCACCUCCAGCCACAGCUUCAAUGUGUUCUCAUCCUCUGCAUUGACUUCAGGGCCCAGCCCUGUCUGACUGCCUAUAAUAUUUCUACUUAAUUUAGUUCUGUAUAUCACCAGGAGAGGGCGAUAGCUGGUAGCCAUCUUGUGAGGGCCCAGCUGAGCUUGGAACUCAGAGCACCUGAGGGCUGGCUCCAUCAGGGUGAGGUGGAACCAAGUUCAAGUCGUCAGGAGGUCAAGGAGCCAAGUUCAAGCUGGCAGGAAGCACGUGGAGUGCUGCAGGCUUAAUAAAAUGAGUUCCAGCCUCACAGCCAGAAACCUGCCUGAACUGCAGUGGAGCUAAAGGUGCAGGCUUGCUGGGAUUGUUCUCUACCUUGCUGUAACCCUACAGCUGGCUUUCUGGGAUUAAUUGACAUGGAUCUGGGCUCUGUCUGACCACUGUAUCUACCAUUAACUGCAGAGACACACCUGAAGUGACAUUUUUUUCUUGAUUUUUUUUGUUUUCUUUUUUCUUAAUUGUUUUUUUGGUACUGGGGAUUGAACUGGGGACCUUUCGUUUGUGAGGCAGGUGCCAGAACCCCUGAGCUAAAUCCUCAGCCCCUGUUUUUGUUUUUAUGUGAAUGUGAACAUUAUUUCUGGUUUUCUUGUGUUGUUCUGUUCUUGUUUUUAUUUCUUCCUUCUUUCUUUCCCUGUCUUCACCAGUUUCCCAAAGUUUGCAUAACCUUUCUUUGUAUUCCAGCCUUGUUUCUAAUCUCUUUGUCUUCUUCUAUUUCUCUAUUUUUCCUUCUAAUCUAUUUUAAAUUUUCUCCCCUAGGGUAAAAUUGCCAUAUCAAAGGCAUGUUAUUAUCUGUAUACAAUUUUCUGGUUUGUUUUAGAUUUUGUUAUAUAAGCACAAAUAUAGCCCAUAUGGUUAAAGGUGGCAAAUUAAUAGUUACCAAAGUUUACCUUUAGGCUGUGUUUGAUGCUAUUAUUGUUGAUUGUACUACGUUAGCCAAAGUGACAUAACUGUUCUGAUCAGUUGUUCUUCCUGGAAUGCCAAGACUAAGAUUGCCUAAGGGUCAUAAAUAAUACUAUAGGCCAGUUCCAAGAACCAGGGUCUAGACUAAAUAGGCAGCAACUUCUCAUCCUCAAUAAAGUGAAGAAAUAGGAUCUCGCAACAGACUCAAAACCCAAAAGCCAGCUACACCUGGAAGACAUCUCUGAGAAAUAGUCAUUCCCCAAGGGUUCGCAAUACUAGCAAUAAAGGUGCUUGGCAUAAGCAAUUUACAAGCAUCAAACCAGGAAUUAAACUAAAAAAAUGGGAAGACAUUUAAGGAAGGUGAAACUCCAGAUUUCCAGCUCACAAAAGGCAAGCCCAGAAGGCAGUGAGGUGGAACAAAUUGAAAACCGUCUGCCUGAAGUCUCAGGAAUGGUAACAGUGAUAAAUGAAGCUCUAGAAAAAUUCAAAUCAGAAUUAAUUUCUGAGUUAACUACAGAGUUGGUGACCAUAAUGAAAGACAUGUUUAGUGAAUACAGAGCACAUACAGAUAAACAAUUAGAAGAACUUGGGAAAAUAAUGGAAACCAUGAAAGCCCAACAUAGGGAAAAAAUGGAAUCCAUGAAACAGAUUCAAACAGAUAUCCAGGAGAUUAAAAAUUCAUUGAAAGUAUCUGCAGAACAAGCCAAUGUGAGGACAGGAAAUCAAAUAUAGAAGAUAGGAUUGUGGUUAGUGAUCAUGAAAAGAAAGACUUCUUAAAAAUAGCAAGGAACCAUGAAAAAUCCAGCAGCUGCUCAGUGAUACAAAGAAGAAUUACAAAAGAUGAUAUAAAAAAACCUGUUCACAGAAGUAAUGGCAGAAAACUUCCUAAGCAUGGAAAAAUAAUCCGACAUACAGAUAAGUGAGGCAUAUAAAACUCCAAUUAGCCAUGAUCAAAAAAAUCUACCACCCUUGUUGCUUUUGCUACCUAGGGUGUGCCACGUUGUUUCUCCUCUGUGUUGCCUGUUUGCCAUCCCUGUCUUGGAGCCAGCUGACUAUGGACUGAAACCUCUACAAACUGUGCUAAAUAAACCCUUUCCCCCUUUUGCUUUAGGUGUUGGGUAUUUUGUCUCAGCAACAAAAGAAAAGAAAUUUAACACAAAUUUGGUACCAGAGAAGUGGGGUCGUUGGUGUGACAUUACCUGACUGUGUGGCUCAAGAGCCUUUGGAACUGGCUUGUGGGAAGGGGAAGAGUUAGGAAAGACUCAGAGAUGCUGGCUAUAGAGGUAGAGCUGGAACACCUUAGGCUAUUCUGUAUGAGAAGUUCUGAUCAGAGCUCAGACGACCAGAAAGCCAGUAAAGACCAAGCUCAGCAAGUGUCUGCUGGGAAGGAGGACUGCAUUGGCUGUUGGACUCCAGAUGAUGUGUGUUAUGGCUUGGCACAAAGUUUGUCUGCAUUUUGCUUACGUCCAGAGACUUUGCCUGAGACUGAGAUUAGGGGAGUGGACUAAUUAAUCUUGCAGAAGAAAUUUCAAGGCAGUCUAAUGUUGAGGUGGUGUCAUGGCUGCUGUUGAGAGCUUUUAGAUCUAUGUUGAGAAUCAAGAGCAGAUAGCCCAGCAGAAUGACUUAAAACAGUGUGAGUUUGUCCAGAAAGGAAGCUCCAUUAAAGCUGUGAACUGCAAAGACAGAUCAGAGAUCUUGAUUGCCAAAAAGGAACAGAACAGAAAAGAUGACCUAAGGGCAUCAGAAAAAGCAGCAAGACUCCAGCCUUUGCAGCCUCAAAGUUGCAAAAGUGAAAGAAUUUGCUUUUUGAAGGGAGUCCUAGAGCGCCAUGUUCCAUAAUGGCGGCAGCAGCAGCCUACGAAUUUGUUCCUUGGAAUUAGAUUCAGAGUGCUUAGCGAUCCAGGCACUGAAGCCCUACAGUCAAGAGAGAGGGAAGUCUGGCUACUUACUACUGCUUCAGCUGACAGCAGACCUUGGCAUCAUCCCCAUGGCGCUGGGUUUAGGUACAUCUAGAAUGCAGGAGUUGUGCGGUCAGGAAGGCUUCCACUCAGAUUUCAGAAGAAGGCCUGGGGGACCAGGCAGCGUGCCCCUGAGAGGGCAGUGUGUGAAGCUGUGAAGGUGAAGCUGCAGCGGAGACCACAGAGGUUUGGAAAAGCCAGGAGCCUGGAUUAUGAGGAAAGCUGCCAGGAGGGAGCAGAACUGGCCCAAGAGAGAAGCUGUGGGAGCUUCCACCAUCUGUAGUGCCAUAGGAGUGGAGCCACCCAAGCCCUUGGGAGUUCACAACUUGCCACACAGUGCCAGGGAUGCUGGAAGUGGAACUGUGGGAUUUAAUGUUUGCUCUGCUGGACUUUGGUCUUGCUUUGGACCCAUUCCUUUGUAUCUCCUUGUUUAUAACUUUUGGAGUAGAAAUUUGUAUCUUAUGGCAUUGAAUAUUGGAAGUGUUUAACUUUCAUUUGUGCAGAAGCUUGCAGCUAAGAGUUUGCCUUAAAUCUGAGACUUGGGACUUUUCAAUGCUAAACUGUUAGGACUUCGGCAACGCUUGGAGAGGGACUAAAUGCCUUUGUGUAAAGGGGUGUACAUGAGUCUUUGGGAGGCAAAGGUGGGAUGUUAUGGCUUGUGUUUAGAUGUCUCCCUAAAGCCUCAUGCUUUUUCUUUUUUGUUUGUUUUUUUGAGGCAGGGUCUCCCUUUGUAGUUCAGGCUGGCCCUAAACUCACUAUAUAGCCCAGGCUGGCCUCGAACUCACAGCAAUCCUCCUGCCUCAGCCUCCCGAGUGCUGGGAUUACAGGCAUGUGCCACCACACCCCAGCUAGCCUCAUGCUUUUUCAAAGGUGGCUGAAUCUGGAAUAUGUGAUGCUGCGAUUAAGGGCAUGUGAUUACCAAACCUCUGCACAUGAGUGAUUGGUUUGGCACCGCCCUAAUCUCAGUAGUCUGAAUAAGAGAAAAAAGGCAGAAAGACACUCUCAUAAGGUCCCUUGUUGCCUUUGCUACAUUGUGCAUACCCUGUUGGUUCUCCUCUGUGGCACCUGUUUUGCCAUCCCUGCCUUGGAGCCAGUGAUUAUGGGCUGAAACCUCUACGAAUUGUGAACUAAGUAAACCUUUUCCCCUUAAGAAACCAAAAAAACUACCCCAAGGCACAUAAGAGUCAGGAUCCCAGAAAUUUAGCCCAAGAAUAGAAUAUUAAAAGCUGUUAGAGAGAAGAAACAAAUCACCUGUAAAGGAAAGCCCAUCAGAAUCACAGCAGACUUCUCAACACAAACCCUCAAGGCAAGGAGGGCCUGGAGAGUUCCGGCAGAGAGUGCAGUGAGAAGCAGUGCAGCCUGCUUCCCAAGAGACCCCCAGGCCCUCCUGGUGAUGGUGGCCUGGGGCCCCGAGGAUGAGCUGUGUCUCUGCCCUGCAGGCUAAGGGAUCCCCACUGUGACUGCCCACUGUCUGGGCCCAGGCUUUAAAGCACAGGCAAAGUGUUCCGCACCCCACCUCGAUGACCUGAUUGGGGGCCGGCGGCCUUGGGGCAGAACCUCUCAGGCGGCAGGGUCUGCCGGCCAUCAAGGAGUCAGCGCCUUGCAGCAGCUGCAGGAUAGCAUGGUAAGAAAAUGGAGGCCUCUGGCUGCCAUAAGGGCUGGAGAAGGUGGAUCUGAAAGCCCGGCCAGUUCGGGUCAUAGAACUGUGCACAUCUGGGUCCCAGGGUGACUGCUGCCUCCCAGGUGGAGGAGACUGGAAAGUGAGGGACCCCAGGCUGAGGACGGGUGGAACAGCUGGUGAGCCAUGGGCAAUUGCCAGAGAGAGAAACAUAAAGUAAUAUUCCCUGUUUGGCUAAUUAGAAAUGCCCCUCACCCUCUGAGAAGAUUUACUGGCCAGUUUUAGAAGGCCUGUGUAUAUAAUAUGAAAAAGCUGCUCUCAACAUUCCCCCUAACCUUUUAUUUUUAUUUUUUUUCGGUACUGGGGAUCAAACUUGGGACCUUGCUCUUGCCAGGCAGGCGCCGCUGAGCUAUAUCCCCAGCCUCUCCCUAAUUUUUUAAAAGAAAACUUGCUGCCUGUGGACAAUAUAGAUGUAAAGAGAUUGCCGAUAUAUGAUGAAGUAGUUAGAAAAACCAAACAUCUUGGAAAUGCCCAUUUGAUUUAAAAAAAAGUGACAGAAAAACAUUUUCUGGAAGUGACUUUUUGAAAUGGAGUUCGUUAGAGCAUCUGGAGAAGCGACACAGGAGUGACGCUGGUCCACACCUGUUGUGUGGUCAGAGGACACGGAGCAAAAGAGAGAAGAACGUCCAGUACCAGGCUGGCCCCAUGUGGAAGACAUGGUUCGCACUGUAACCUUUGUUUCGUGUGUGCAUUUUGGUCCUCAUUACUGUUUAUCUGUAAUUGACAAUGCUAAGUACUUUAUUGAAAUAUCUGGUCUUUCAAAUGCCUAAUACAUGUUAAAAAGUAGAAGUAGUAAAAUAAUGCAUUUUGUAAAUUUCUUUUUGUCAGAGCUCACAUGAAGUGUUGUUUUGUGGGGUAAUAGGCAAACCCCUCUCGAGUGUACACACUGUUUCUGCACUGGUUCUCGAAAGAGGGAAAUGCAGAGUGGUGCUUAUGCACACAGCGAGGGAUGUUACUGCUGUCCCUCAGGUCUGCACAUUUUUAUUUGUAUAAGUAGGGUAUGUAGAGGACAAAUGAGAUGUUUGACAACAUCUAGUCUUCCUAGAUGUUAAAGAGGUUGCCAGUUUUGAUAAAAGUAGAGUUAGUAAACUAACAAAUUUUGUCAGUUUUUAUUACAGUUCCUAGGAAAGACUUCUGAAAAUUUGAGUAUUCUAGCCCACUGGGUUAGUGGAGAAGGGAAGGGUUCUAGAGUGAAUUCUCAUAUUUUCAAGACACUUUCAACUAUUGUUACCUGUGUGCCAUGUAAUCAAGAAUGCUGUGGGCCGGGGAUUUAGCUCAGUGGUUCCGGCACCCGCCUUGAAAGCGCAAGGUCCUGAGUUCGAUCCCCGGUACCAAAAAAAAAAAAAAGAAUGCUGUGUACGUGUGAUGGACAAAUUGAGUCCUCACUUGAGACAUCUAGUCUUUUUGAGAUGUUUAGAAGUGCCCAGCAUACAUUAACUGUAGAGGAAGUAAAAUACCACUUUGUGAAUUUUUUUUGCUAACGUUCAUAUGAAAUGCUGUGUUUUGGGAAUGGAAAGGUUGAGCCACCUCUUGAGCAAUGUGGUGCUGUUUGCUUGUUCAGCGGUUUGGAGGAGGUGGGAGGGAAGCACUUGCGAAAGGUGUUAUGUUAGUGUGUUUGUACCUGGACACUUUGAGACAUCGUUUUUAUAUAUGUAUUGUGGAUUUUGUUUUGCUGUGUAUAUAACAGACAAAUCCAACUUUUGCAGCAUACAGUUCCUAGUUGUUAUACAGGUUGCCAGUGUAUGACCAGGUAGUAAAGGUAGCACGUUUCAACACUUUUGUGUUGAAAUACACAGAAAAGCUUGUCCCCUAUAAAUGAAUUUUGGGUUCACCCACGUGUAACAUUGCAUAUGCCUGUACUUGUUCCCUGGUUUGAAGGCUGGGAGAAGGAAGUGAGGCCAAAAUGGUCAUAUGUAGAAGAUACCAUAGAAAAAAGGAACCAACAACAGGAAAAUAAGAUGACAAGGAGAAGUCAGUACAUAGCAGUUAUAACCAUCAAUGUUAAUGGUCUCAAUUCACCAGUCAAAAGAAACAGACUGGCAGAAGGGAUCAAGAAGCAAGAUCCAACAGUAUAGUGCAUACAAGAAACACAUUUAAUUUAAAAAUUCAUAGACUGAAAGUCAAAGGGUGGAAAACAGUACUCCAUGCAACAGGAACCUAGAAAAUAGCAGGUGGAGGGUUAUGAUUUGUGUCAGGAUGUCCCCUCAAAGCUUCCUGUGGUCAUAGGGCUUUUUCAGGGGUAAGUGAAUCCAAUGUAUGUGAUGCUGAGAUUAAGGGUGUGUGGUUCACUAAACUAGUACACUGAUUGGUUUGGCACUGCCCUGAUCUCCAGUAGUCUGGAUAAAAGGGGCAGAAAGUCGCUGCUAAAGGUCCCUUGUUGGUUUUGCUGCCGUGUGUGCCAUGAACUGUUUCUCCUCUGUAAACCCUGUUUUCCACGCCACCCUGUCUUGGGGCCCGCCGAUUAUGGACUGAAACCUGUACAGACUGUGAGCUAAAUAAAUCUUUCCUCCCUUAACUUGUGAGUGUUGGGUAUUUUUUCUCAGCAGUGAGAGUAAAGUAACUAACAGAAUUUGGACUCUUGAGUCACUGAGUUGCCCAGGCUGGUCUCCAACUUUCGAUCCUCCUGCCUCAGCCUCCCAGAGUGCUACAGGUGUAUGCUGCCAUGUUUGGCUAUGUAGUGCAUUUUGCUCACUUAAUUCUUAUUUCUUCUGCAUGCACUGCAUCAUAAGAGUUAAAUGCAGUACAUAGACUUUCAUUAUUACCCAUUGCUUCUGCGUAUGCAGUAUGCAGCCAGUGAAAACAGUGUCAGCUGAGGUCUCCUAAACUUGAUAUUCAGAGGACACGCUUCCAAAUAACUCUCUGGGGGGGUGGGGGGCAGAGGUCUCACUAUGUUGCCCAGGCUGUUCACAAGCUCCUAGUCUCAAGAAACCCUCCUGCCUCAGCCUCCUGAGAGGCUGGGAGUACAAAUAUAUGCUGCUGUGCUCAGCUAAGAGACUUUCUUUAAAAGAAUCCCCACUGUUUCCAGAGAAGAGAGCAUAGAAAGUUGGAAGAGUCAAUUGACUGUGGAGAAACAUGGCAAAUGGCACCCGAUCUAGGCCAUCGAAGUUAGCAUAGUCCAUGACGUCCUGAAGCCACAGGGGCGCCCCAGGUCUGAUGGGAGGAGGACACCCCUGUCAGGCUUGAGCUGGUCAUGAAAUGAUGAGUGAAUGUGCUCUUUAAUUCUAAGUUACAGUUUGACAAGAUACAGAAAAACCACAACAAAACAGGCAGCUGAUGCGGGUGCUGUCUCCGCCUGACAGAAGCAGGACGGGCUGUUCUCCACACAGCAAUAACUACAAAGCACAGCAUCUCCUCAAUGCUGUCACCUGACUGUCCACACACAUUUGCUGUGGCCCACCUGUGCCUGAUGUGACCGACCUUCCAGUGCCCCGUGACGCUCCCUGCCUUGCCUGUGUUCAGGCCUGGUGCCUCUUGCUUGCGUCAGACUACCUUUUUACUGUCACACCCUGCUCGGCUGGCCUCAUCCUUCCGUGCCAGUUGUUAUGUCCGGUGCCCCGAAGCCCUGUUCAGGGGUCUCUGACCCUUUCCUGGGCCUCUGCCCGGCUGAGGUGAUGCUGGCCCUCAGACCUGGAG